rnacentral:rRNA from 3 species
UUCCACGCGUACCCAUCCCGAACACGACCGUUAAGCCCUCCAGCGCCGAUGGUACUUGGACCGAAGGGUCCUGGGAGAGUAGGACGUUGCCAAGC